UACGAAGGGGGCUAGCGUUGCUCGGAAUCACUGGGCGUAAAGGGUGCGUAGGCGGGUCUUUAAGUCAGGGGUGAAAUCCUGGAGCUCGACUCCAGAACUGCCUUUGAUACUGAAGAUCUUGAGUUCGGGAGAGGUGAGUGGAACUGCGAGUGUAGAGGUGAAAUUCGUAGAUAUUCGCAAGAACACCAGUGGCGAAGGCGGCUCACUGGCCCGAUACUGACGCUGAGGCACGAAAGCGUGGGGAGCAAACAGG
rnacentral:rRNA from 1 species